UUCUGCUGCUGCGGUAUGUUGCAAACUCCUGUUUCGGACACUUCUUCGAGUAUGUCUACUGACCGUGUUGGAGACCGGGAAGUGGAUGUGUUCGAGAGGUUAAUGCGUUCAUCGCUGAAAGAUGUAUGUAUUGACAGAGAAGGCGACAUUCAUGGAUUUUGCGAGACAGAAGAGGAUGUUGUCCAUCUUCUGAGCAACUUGCGCGUCAAUGGCUACGCAUACUCAGUUAGAAGAAGUGCUGCUAAACACAAGACAGGCUUCUUCUACAGCCACACAAAAGGAAACAUACCAAUAGAGUUUUUUGGCCCUGUUUCCUGUGUUGAAAGCUUAGUGAAAAGAGAAUGUAGUCUUGGCCCGUUAUAUCAUAAAAAGGAGACUCCUGUUGCAGAUCAUCUGGUGGACCAUGUUAACCCAAAGAAGAGAAAAGUUCUCAUGGACACACAAAAGAAAGGCUGUCCAGCAACAUUGGAUGUUAAGUGUGUCAGGAUAUUCCCCCGUUAUGCGAUAAACUCGGCAACAGACAGUUAAAAAAAAAGUACUCUGUGUUCUUGUGCCACAUUUAAUAGCAGCAUUCAGAUCAGCUUUUUUGGUUCUUUUGUAUUGCAUGGGAGCAAUGGACAAGCCACAAGCAAAAUUUACAAAAGAGUUGCAGUUGCAGAUCACCUUGGCAACAUCAAGGUGACACAGCUGUCUUCUCCCAGCAGCGAGAGGCAAUGUUGUGAUCAUUCCUCUGAACCUCCUUCUCUCGUGGAAAGUGUAAUUGAUACACAAUGCAUACCCAGGUGCGGUAGUCCCUACCGUUACAAAUAAGGUUGCAGUGGCACAUUACCUGGUUGUGUAUCAUCAAGUCAAGACCGUAUCAGUCCAAGGAAAAAUAUAAUGAACACAAAUGAGUGCUCAGCUACAGUUUCAGACAAAUGGCUGAAUUUUCCAGGUUUUCUGUACAGUGAACAAAUUACCACAUGGAGACAAAAGUUGCUGCAGAAGUGGCCUUGGUGUUCAAGUAAGACAGAAAGGCAAAUUUCAGAUUUUUUUUUUUUUUUUUUAUUACAUCAUCCUCAGGAUAAGCUGUACCUAGUGCACACAUUCUCAAAGUCUGUUAAUGUUUAUAGUGCUGUAGGUCAGGUUUAUAACCAGCCUAGCUAACUGCCUUUCAUCUUGUUCCUCUGAUGAAGUUGAGUUUCUGGGAUUGGCACUGCCUUGGUUUACUGCCGCCUCACUGCUGGUAUCCUCUGAACUUUAUAAUACAGGACUGGCAGGUUCAGACCAACUGCUGCUUGAGCCAAACCCAAAGGUCCCAUCGAGACAAAUGAAAGGGCUGUUCUUGUAACUGUCAUUCAACUUAUGAAAGUCCCAGCCAGGGUAAUAAAUGAAAAUUGCGCAGAAAUGUUUGCAUGGAAGUAUUCACAUGUGCAAUUAGGCUUUGCAGAAUUCACCGCAUAGUAACAAUCCUUGGCCUCAGCACAUUCUACACAAAAUAAUCCCUCACCCAUUUAUUUCACUGAGCUUUCAGUAAGUCCAGUUUGCGCUGAAGAAUAUCUUUUCAUUACGUGAUUCACAAAUUCGUGUGGCUUGUUAUGCAAGAAGUGAGGAAUCUCUCUGCUGUAAGAUUUCACAGCUGAAUUCUUCAGACAAUAUUUUUUAAACAGGCUAGGGAGGAAAUCAUUUAUUAAAACUUUAACAACACCUGUCAAUGUUAUACCUGCUGUGAAUGUCUAAGAAAAAAUGUUUCACUCUUUUAUUUAGUGAUUCAACACCAUUAGUAGUAGUUAUAUUGGCGAAGAAAUUCUCCUUGUCCUCAUAGGCCUUCACCCACCUUUCAGACACUGAAAGCCAUUGCUUAUUAAAAUAAAGUGCACCAGAAUUUCUAGUUAAUAAUUCAUGAGAUUGAAGGUUUGCUCACUAUAUCCCGGUACAUCUAAAUUGUUCUUUUUGCUAAGCCACCAUUGCCAGGCUUGCUUUCGAUGAAAUAAACAAAGAUAAACCCUUGACAUUGGAAAUGUUCCUUUAAUUGCCCAUAUCUCAGGCUCAGAGAAAUCUGUAACCCAUAAAACUGGAUUCCAAUCUGGGUUCCAUGCCUUGAAAAUUUCUAGAGCCUCUUUAAUUGAAGCAGUGUUUUCUACUUGAAUGAAGAAUAUCCCACCUACUAAAUAGCAUACAUUAGCUCUCACUACCAAGAAAAAUAAUGGAAUGUCAUACUUCGUUGUCUUGUAUGUUGCAUCAGGCAAACAUACCCUAAACCCUACCAUACCUUUUCAAAAGUUCCCUUUGCCACUUGUGCUGGUAACAAAAAAGCAAUGGCUGUACUUUUCCAUUGUCAUCUGUAAACGGUCUGAAAAAAAAUCUCUCAGCCUUCGAUUCUGUUUCCCACCCAUUAAUUUGAUUCCUUAAUGCAUCUUGGUCAAUAACAGUUUUCUUCAAAUCAAACAGAGCCCGAUACAUAUGGCUAUAAAUUGUACUAUCUGUUGGGUGUAACAUUACGUUCAUCCGAUUUGGUCUGUUCCAACAACGCUAAAGUGCACAAACCCCGAAAGUGUUAACGAACAAACUUUACUUAGGUUUUAUUUGCAGCAAGUGUGUUUCUGUAUUGCAUCCUGGUCACUCACUGAUUUCCUUACAACAAAUAAGCUCUGAGCACAUGGGUGUAUGUUGUUUAAUCUGUGUGGUAAAACAAUAUUUGAGUAAAGGUUUUUCAUUUAUGAAACAGUAUCAACUCAAAAAACUUAUGUACACUGCUCAUAAUUUGUUGUGUAGUCAGAAUACACAUGUUGGAAUGAAUAAAUUCAAUUAUGUAAUUAUCAUUUCCUUUGGCAAUGAAUCAUAUGAGCUAAACGUGACAUUAGAGGGAAUAGCAAUUUUCAAAUCAUAUUUUUCAGUGCAUACUCUUGUGUGUGUGCAUUGUUCCUUUAAGCUUACACACAAUCUGUUGUUCAAAAUGACUAGUUGUUAGUGUUUUUAAAAUGUGUAUACUAUUGUACAUGUCAGCGUAUUUUAUGUUUUGCAUUUAUGUAAGCACAAAUGGACUAUGUAUGUGUAUUGGACAUAUGAAGAAAUGUCAUUGUGUAAUUAUCCUUUUUGAGUGAAAACUAAACUCCAUGUAUUUC